UACGGAGUGUGCAAGCGUUACUCGGAAUCACUGGGCAUAAAGCGCGCGUAGGCGGGUAUUCAAGUCGGUUGUGAAAUCCCCCAGCUCAACUGGGGAACUGCAUCCGAUACUGUCUGUCUUGAGGACGAGAGGGGAGAGUGGAACUUCUGGUGGAGCGGUGAAAUGCGUAGAUAUCAGGAGGAACACCGAUGGCGGAAGGCAGGUCUCUGGGCAUUAACUGACGCUGGAGGAGCGAAAGCAUGGGGAGCGAACAGGA
rnacentral:rRNA from 1 species